GACAGAGGGGGCAAGCGUUGUUCGGAAUUACUGGGCGUAAAGGGCGCGUAGGCGGCCUGCUAAGUCGAACGUGAAAUCCCUGGGCUCAACCCAGGAACUGCGUCCGAUACUGGUUGGCUUGAAUCCGGGAGAGGGAUGUGGAAUUCCAGGUGUAGCGGUGAAAUGCGUAGAUAUCUGGAGGAACACCGGUGGCGAAGGCGGCUUCCUGGACCAGUACCGACGUUCAGGCACGAAAGCGUGGGGAGCAAACAGG
rnacentral:rRNA from 1 species